UAAGGAAUAUUGGUCAAUGGGCGCAAGCCUGAACCAGCCAUGCCGCGUGCAGGAUGACGGCCCUAUGGGUUGUAAACUGCUUUUAUACGGGAAAAAACCCUCGAUCGUGAAUCGGGGCUGAUGGUACCGUAAGAAUAAGGAUCGGCUAACUCCGUGCCAGCAGCCGCGGUAAUACGGAGGAUCCAAGCGUUAUCCGGAUUUAUUGGGUUUAAAGGGUGCGCAGGCGGAAUAAUAAGUCAGUGGUGAAAUCCUGCAGCUUAACUGCAGAACUGCCAUUGAUACUGUUAUUCUUGAGUAUAUUUGAAGUGGGCGGAAUGUGUCAUGUAGCGGUGAAAUGCUUAGAUAUGACACAGAACACCAAUUGCGAAGGCAGCUCACUAAACUAUAACUGACGCUCAUGCACGAAAGCGUGGGGAUCAAACAGG
rnacentral:rRNA from 1 species